AUAUAUAUCAACCCUCAUCUUGAGUGGUUUGGAUGUGGGGGGUUUGCUGGCCUCUUAAAAGGUUCAGCUCUCCUGAAAUGCAUUAGCGGAACAAACCUUGUUCAUUCAUUGGUGUGAUAACUAUCUACGCUAUUGAGUGUGAGGCAGUUCAGCUUCUUAACAGUCCUUGGACAACUUAUCAUUUU
rnacentral:misc_RNA from 1 species